rnacentral:rRNA from 1 species
UACGAAGGGUGCAAGCGUUACUCGGAAUUACUGGGCGUAAAGCGUGCGUAGGUGGUUCGUUAAGUCUGAUGUGAAAGCCCUGGGCUCAACCUGGGAAUGGCAUUGGAAACUGGCGACCUAGAGUGCGGUAGAGGGUAGUGGAAUUCCCGGUGUAGCGGUGAAAUGCGUAGAGAUCGGGAGGAACAUCCGUGGCGAAGGCGACUACCUGGACCAGCACUGACACUGAGGCACGAAAGCGUGGGGAGCAAACAGG